UACGAAGGGUGCAAGCGUUACUCGGAAUUACUGGGCGUAAAGCGUGCGUAGGUGGUUUGUUAAGUCUGAUGUGAAAGCCCUGGGCUCAACCUGGGAAUUGCAUUGGAUACUGGCAGGCUAGAGUGCGGUAGAGGGCGGUGGAAUUCCGGGUGUAGUGGUGGAAUGCGUAGAGCUCCGGAGGAACACCAGUGGCGAAGGCG
rnacentral:rRNA from 1 species